rnacentral:rRNA from 1 species
GACAGAGGUGCCGAGCGUUAGGCGGAAUCACUGGGCUUAAAGCGUGUGUAGGCGGGCCGUUAAGUAUCUUGUGAAAUCCCACGGCUCAACCGUGGAACUGCUGGGUAUACUGGUUGUCUUGAGCCAGCUAGGGGCGAGCGGAACAGACGGUGGAGCGGUGAAAUGCGUAGAUAUCGUCUGGAACGCCGAAGGUGAAAACAGCUCGCUGGGGCUGCGCUGACGCUGAGACACGAAAGCCAGGGGAGCGAACGGG